UACGUAGGGUCCGAGCGUUGUCCGGAAUUAUUGGGCGUAAAGGGCUCGUAGGCGGUUUGUCGCGUCGGGAGUGAAAACCUACAGCUUAACUGUGGGCUUGCUUUCGAUACGGGCAGACUUGAGGCAUGCAGGGGAGAACGGAAUUCCUGGUGUAGCAGUGAAAUGCGUAGAGAUCGGGAGGAACAUCAGUUGCGAAGGCGGCUCUCUGGACCAGCACUGACACUGAGGCACGAAAGCGUGGGGAGCAAACAGG
rnacentral:rRNA from 1 species